rnacentral:rRNA from 1 species
CGUGUAGGCGGUUGGGCAAGUCAGAUGUGAAAGCCUUCCGCUCAACGGAAGAAGGGCAUUUGAAACUACCCGGCUGGAGUACGGGAGAGGAGAGUGGAAUUCCCGGUGUAGAGGUGAAAUUCGUAAAUAUCGGGAGGAACACCAGUGGCGAAGGCGGCUCUCUGGUCCGAUACUGACGCUGAGACGCGAAAGCGUGGGGAGCAAACAGGAUUAGAUACCCUGGUAGUCCACGCCGUAAACGAUGGGCACUAGGUGUAGGAGGUAUUGACCCCUUCUGUGCCGAAGCUAACGCAUUAAGUGCCCCGCCUGGGGAGUACGGCCGCAAGGCUAAAA